UACGUAGGGUGCGAGCGUUAAUCGGAAUUACUGGGCGUAAAGCGCACGUAGGCGGUUGGUUAAGUUGGAUGUGAAAGCCCCGGGCUCAACCUGGGAAUUGCAUUCAAAACUGGCCAACUAGAAUACGGGAGAGGGGGGUAGAAUUCCAAGUGUAGCGGUGAAAUGCGUAGAGAUUUGGAGGAAUACCAGUGGCGAAGGCGGCCCCCUGGCCCGAUAUUGACGCUGAGGUGUGAAAGCGUGGGGAGCAAACAGG
rnacentral:rRNA from 1 species